rnacentral:rRNA from 1 species
CUUAUCGACCCGGGAGACAGUGUCAGUGGGCAGUUUGACUGGGGCGGUCGCCUCCUAAAGUGAACGGAGGGGGCCAAAGGUUCCCUCAGAAUGGUUGGAAAUCAUUCGUAGAGUGCAAAGGCAUAAGGGAGCUUGACUGCGAGACCUACAAGUCGAGCAGGGACGAAAGUCGGGCUUAGUGAUCCGGUGGUUCCGCAUGGAAGGGCCAUCGCUCAACGGAUAAAAGCUACCCCGGGGAUAACAGGCUUAUCUCCCCCAAGAGUCCACAUCGACGGGGAGGUUUGGCACCUCGAUGUCGGCUCAUCGCAUCCUGGGGCUGUAGUCGGUCCCAAGGGUUGGGCUGUUCGCCCAUUAAAGCGGUACGCGAGCUGGGUUCAGAACGUCGUGAGACAGUUCGGUCCCUAUCCGUCGUGGGCGUAGGAAAUUUGAGAGGAGCUGUCCUUAGUACGAGAGGACCGGGAUGGACGCACCGCUGGUGUACCAGUUGUUCUGCCAAGGGCAUAGCUGGGUAGCUAUGUGCGGAAGGGAUAAGUGCUGAAAGCAUCUAAGCAUGAAGCCCCCCUCAAGAUGAGAUUUCCCAUAGCGUAAGCUAGUAAGAUCCCUGAAAGAUGAUCAGGUUGAUAGGUUCGAGGUGGAAGCAUGGUGACAUGUGGAGCUGACGAAUACUAAUAGAUCGAGGACUUAACCAUAUAA